AGCGAACGCUGGCGGCAGGCCUAACACAUGCAAGUCGAACGAACCUUUCGGGGUUAGUGGCGGACGGGUGAGUAACACGUGGGAACGUGCCUUUAGGUUCGGAAUAACUCAGGGAAACUUGUGCUAAUACCGAAUGUGCCCUUCGGGGGAAAGAUUAAUCGCCUUUAGAGCGGCCCGCGUCUGAUUAGCUAGUUGGUUGAGGUAAUGGCUCACCAAGGCGACGAUCAGUAGCUGGUCUGAGAGGAUGAUCAGCCACAUUGGGACUGAGACACGGCCCAAACUCCUACGGGAGGCAGCAGUGGGGAAUCUUGCGCAAUGGGCGAAAGCCUGACGCAGCCAUGCCGCGUGAAUGAUGAAGGUCUUAGGAUUGUAAGAUUCUUUCACCGGGGACGAUAAUGACGGUACCCGGAGAAGAAGCCCCGGCUAACUUCGUG
rnacentral:rRNA from 1 species